GACGAACGCUGGCGGCGUGCUUAACACAUGCAAGUCGAACGGAAAGGCCCUGCUUUUGUGGGGUGCUCUAGUGGCGAACGGGUGAGUAACACGUGAGUAACCUGCCCUUUACUUUUGGAUAACUUCAGGAAACUGGGGCUUAUACCGGAUAGGAGCUCCUGCUGCAUGGUUGGGGUUGGAAAGUUUCGGCGGUUGGGGAUGGACUCGCGGCUUAUCAGCUUGUUGGUGGGGUAGUGGCUUACCAAGGCUUUGACGGGUAGCCGGCCUGGGAGGGUGACCGGCCACAUUGGGACUGAGAUACGGACCAGACUCCUACGGGAGGCAGCAGUGGGGAAUAUUGCACAAUGGGCGGAAGCCUGAGGCAGCAACGCCGCGUGCGGUAUGACGGCCUUCGGGUUGUAAACCGCUUUCGCCUGUGACGAAGCGUGAGUGACGGUAAUGGGUAAAGAAGCACCGGCUAACUACGUG
rnacentral:rRNA from 1 species